CCAUGAAUGGGGCAGGAUCUUUUCACGUUCAAGAACACCACAGAGUCAUCUCAGGAGAGCUGCAGAAAAAGUUCUUCUGCUGAUGGCAGUUCUGCAGAGCUUUUGAUGAAAACUAAAUCUUCUCAUCUCUGGCAUAUUCCUCAUGAAAAGACAAUGAUAAACACUUCAGAAAUCCACAGCAGAAGUUCUGUUGCACAUCCCAGAGGGCUGAGCCUUCGAAGCAAGAGAUGAGCCAUAUGAGAGGGUAUCAUGU